UACGUAGGGGGCAAGCGUUGUCCGGAUUUAUUGGGCGUAAAGAGCGUGUAGGCGGCCAGGUAGGUCCGUUGUGAAAACUCGAGGCUCAACCUCGAGCUGUCGAUGGAAACCAUCUGGCUAGAGUCCGGAAGAGGAGAGUGGAAUUCCCGGUGUAGCGGUGAAAUGCGCAGAUAUCGGGAAGAACACCCGUGGCGAAGGCGGCUCUCUGGGCCGAUAUUGACGCUGAGGCGCGAAAGCUAGGGGAGCAAACGGG
rnacentral:rRNA from 1 species